UACGAAGGGUGCAAGCGUUAAUCGGAAUUACUGGGCGUAAAGCGUGCGCAGGCGGUUUUGUAAGUCUGUCGUGAAAGCCCCGGGCUCAACCUGGGAAUUGCGAUGGAGACUGCAAGGCUUGAAUCUGGCAGAGGGGGGUAGAAUUCCACGUGUAGCAGUGAAAUGCGUAGAGAUGUGGAGGAACACCGAUGGCGAAGGCAGCCCCCUGGGUCAAGAUUGACGCUCAUGCACGAAAGCGUGGGGAGCAAACAGG
rnacentral:rRNA from 1 species